UACGUAGGGGGCAAGCGCUGUCCGGAUUUAUUGGGCGUAAAGCGCGCGUAGGCGGCGCGGUAUGUCGUGCGUGAAAUCUCCCGGCUUAACUGGGAGGGGCCGUGCGAAACUGCCGGGCUUGAGGUCGGAAGGGGAAAGUGGAAUUCCGGGUGUGAGUGGUGGAAUACGUAGAUAUCCGGAGGAACACCAGCGGCGAAGGCGGCUUCUGGUCCGAUACUGACGCUGAGGU
rnacentral:rRNA from 1 species